CUUUACUUACGCAUUCAAAUUAUAUUAAUUAAACCGCGACGCAUAAUCAUGGUAUUAUGUGAAGUCAAUAUGUUGUAUCAGAUGUUAGAGCGGUGGGUGUGUACAUAUUUUUAAGAGACGCCUUUUAUUUAAAGACACGAAAAAGCUGAGGUGAAUAAAAACAGGAAUGUGUUGCUGCUGUGUCGCUGCCUGUUUUAAACCACACAGAACAAUUAUAACUUUGCAGUGAACAGAAAAUAAGUAAGCCAUCAACAAGUUGUUGCCCUUCACACUCCCCAUGUUUUAGCACACAACAGAUACUUAAUAGUAAAAACUUAACCCUCACGCAGCCUUCGAGGGGGUCAGUCUGACCCCACGAGACAAACUAUGAAACUUUUGAUUCUUUUUACUUUUUUAGGCCACAAGGCACCUACGCGUCGCAGGAUCCGCGGCGGCUCGGUCACCCCUCCCUUCUUCUUCGUCACAGGCCCGUCCCGCAUCCUCCCGGGGUCCGGCGCGACCCCAGCCCCCUGUACCUCCCCGUCCCGCGUCCUCCAGGGGUCAGGCGCGACCCCGGCCCCCUGUACCUCCUCGUCCCGCAUACUCCCGGGGUCAGGCGCGACCCCAGCCCCCUGUACCUCCCCGUCCCUCGUCCUCCCGGGGUCAGGCGCGACCCCGGCCCCCUGUACCUCCCUGUCCCUCGUCUUGCCGGGGUCCGGCGCGACCCCAGCCCACGGAACCUCCCCGUCCUUCGUCCUCCCGGGGUCAGGCGCGACCCCAUUUUUUUGUUUUUUUAUUUUUCCUUCUCCUUUCCUCCCUUUUACCUCCACCCGUGCCACAGGCCCACUGAUGAUGAACAUGAUGAUGAUGAUGAUGAUGAUGAUGAUGAUGCAAGCAGACAGCUGCGUGCAAGGGCUGACCAUUUUAAACGAAAAAUAAAACAGACCAAACAGGCAAAACCAUUUGAUUAAAUGCCAAAAGUUUAUUUAAUAAUAUAAAACAGUUAUGAAAUAAAGGAGUACAAGGCACAUUCCGUACA
rnacentral:lncRNA from 1 species